AGAAUCAACGCUGGCGGCGUGCCUAACACAUGCAAGUCGAACGCGAAAGCCCCGAAAGGGGCAAGUAGAGUGGCAAACGGGUGAGUAACACGUGGGUGACCUGCCUUCGAGCGGGGGAUAACGUCCCGAAAGGGACGCUAAUACCGCAUAACAUCCUGCCUUUGAAGAGGUGGAGAUCAAAGCUGGGGAUCGCAAGACCCGGCACUUGAAGAGGGGCCCGCGUCUGAUCAGCUAGUUGGUGGGGUAAUGGCCUACCAAGGCAACGAUCAGUA
rnacentral:rRNA from 1 species